rnacentral:rRNA from 1 species
AUACGGAGGGUGCAAGCGUUACUCGGAAUCACUGGGCGUAAAGCGCGCGCAGGCGGUCUUUUAAGUUGGAUGUGAAAGCCUACGGCUCAACCGUAGAACUGCAUCCAAAACUAUUAGACUAGAGUGUGGGAGAGGAAGAUGGAAUUAGUUGUGUAGGGGUAAAAUCCGUAGAGAUAACUAGGAAUACCAAAAGCGAAGGCAAUCUUCUGGAACACUACUGACGCUGAGGCGCGAAAGCGUGGGGAGCAAACAGGAUUAGAUACCCGAGUAGUCC